UACAGAGGGGGCAAGCGUUGUUCGGAAUUACUGGGCGUAAAGGGCGCGUAGGCGGCCCUCUAAGUCAGACGUGAAAUCCCUCGGCUCAACCGGGGAACUGCGUCUGAGACUGGGGGGCUUGAAUCCGGGAGAGGGAUGUGGAAUUCCAGGUGUAGCGGUGAAGUGCGUAGAUAUCUGGAGGAACACCGGUGGCGAAGGCGGCAUCCUGGACCGGUAUUGACGCUGAGGCGCGAAAGCCAGGGGAGCAAACGGG
rnacentral:rRNA from 1 species